AGAGUUUGAUCAUGGCUCAGAACGAACGCUGGCGGCGCGUCUUAAACAUGCAAGUCGAACGAUCUGUAGCAAUACAGGGAGUGGCGGACGGGUGAGGAACACGUAGGAAUCUACCUUGAAGAGCGGGACAACUUUGGGAAACCGGGGCUAAUACCGCAUAGUACAGAGAUGUUAAAGGGCUAGCAAUAGUCGCUUCGAGAUGAGCCUGCGGUCUAUCAGCUUGUUGGUGAGGUAAUGGCUCACCAAGGCUACGACGGAUAGCCGGUCCGAGAGGAUGAUCGGCCACACUGGCACUGAGACACGGGCCAGACUCCUACGGGAGGCAGCAGUUAAGAAUCUUGCGCAAUGGGGGAAACCCUGACGCAGCGACGCCGCGUGAAGGAUGAAGGCUUUCGGGUUGUAAACUUCGGUAGACUGGGAAGAAGAAAUACGUUCGUUGAGGGCGUAUAGUGACGGUACCAGUCUGAAGCCCCGGCUAAUUACGUG
rnacentral:rRNA from 1 species